CCAAAAAAAAAAAUGAAGUUACAGAUCAGUUCACAGAACAGGUAUAGCAUGGGCAGCUGCAGCCCAAGCUUCCCUGUACUGGUCCACCAGUCUUCUGUAACCCUGACCUGGAGAUAUCAUCUUUAGGAUUCAGAGGGUAGUUGAGUCUUUGUGCUUAUUUAGUGCAUAGCCUUU
rnacentral:sRNA from 1 species